rfam:Aedes albopictus isolate Foshan contig77894, whole genome shotgun sequence.
UGUUCUGUGGCUUAGUUGGUUAAAGCGCCGGUCUAGCGAAUACGGAGUUGUAGGUUCGAAUCCCACCAGAACGC